rnacentral:sRNA from 1 species
AUUGAAGCGGUUAAACAAACACCUAAUGCAACUGACGAAGAAAAGCAGGCUGCUGUUAAUCAAAUCAAUCAACUUAAAGAUCAAGCAUUUAAUCAAAUUAAUCAAAACCAAACAAAUGAUCAGGUAGACACAACUACAAAUCAAGCGUUAAAUGCUAUAGAUAAUGUUGAAGCUGAAGUAGUAAUUAAACCAAAGGCAAUUGCAGAUAUUGAAA